rnacentral:rRNA from 1 species
CACGUAGGGUGCGAGCGUUGUCCGGAAUUAUUGGGCGUAAAGAGCUCGUAGGCGGUGUGUCGCGUCGGCCGUGAAAACCUGCAGCUUAACUGUGGGCGUGCGGUCGAUACGGGCAUCACUGGAGUUCGGCAGGGGAGACUGGAAUUCCUGGUGUAGCGGUGAAAUGCGCAGAUAUCAGGAGGAACACCGGUGGCGAAGGCGGGUCUCUGGGCCGAUACUGACGCUGAGGAGCGAAAAGCGUGGGGGAGCGAACAGG